AAUCUUCCGCAAUGGACGAAAGCCUGACGGAGCAACGCCGCGUUAGUGAUGAAGGUCUUAGGAUCGUAAAACUCUGUUGUUAGGGAAGAACAAAUCUGUUAGUAACUGAACAAGUCUUGACGGUACCUAACCAGAAAGCCACGGCUAACUACGUCCCAGCAACCCCGGUAAUACGUAGGGGGCAAGCGUUUUCCGGAAUUAUUGGGCGUAAAGCGCGCGUAGGCGGUUUCUUAAGUCUGAUGUGAAAGUCCACGGCUCAACCGGGGAAGGUCAUUGGAAACUGGGGAACUUGAGUGCAGAAGAGGAGAGUGGAAUUCCAUGUGUAGCGGUGAAAUGCGCAGAGAUAUGGAGGAACACCAGUGGCGAAGGCGGCUCUCUGGUCUGUAACUGACGCUGAUGUGCGAAAGCGUGGGGAUCAAACA
rnacentral:rRNA from 1 species